rnacentral:rRNA from 1 species
ACGGAAGGCAGCAGUGGGGAAUAUUGCACAAUGGGGGAAACCCUGAUGCAGCGACGCCGCGUGAGUGAAGAAGUAUUUCGGUAUGUAAAGCUCUAUCAGCAGGAAAGAAAAUGACGGUACCUGACUAAGAAGCCCCGGCUAACUACGUGCCAGCAGCCGCGGUAAUACGUAGGGGGCAAGCGUUAUCCGGAUUUACUGGGUGUAAAGGGAGCGUAGACGGCUUUGCAAGUCUGAAGUGAAAGCCCGGGGCUCAACCCCGGAACUGCUUUGGAAACUGUAGAGCUAGAGUGUAGGAGAGGUAAGUGGAAUUCCUAGUGUAGCGGUGAAAUGCGUAGAUAUUAGGAGGAACACCAGUGGCGAAGGCGGCUUACUGGACUGUAACUGACGUUGAGGCUCGAAGGCGUGGGGAGCAAACAGGAUUAGAUACCCUGGUA